UACGUAGGGGGCAAGCGUUGUCCGGAUUUACUGGGCGUAAAGAGCGUGUAGGCGGCCAAGCAGGUCCGUUGUGAAAACUGGAGGCUUAACCUCCAGACGUCGACGGAAACCGCGUGGCUAGAGUCCGGAAGAGGAGAGUGGAAUUCCUGGUGUAGCGGUGAAAAUGCGCAGAUAUCAGGAAGAACACCAAUGGCGAAGGCAGCUCUCUGGGACGGUACUGACGCUGAGACGCGAAAGCGUGGGGAGCGAACAGG
rnacentral:rRNA from 1 species